AAAAUCAAUUAUAUCUCAACUUACACAUGCAAGUCUCCGCACACCCGUGAAAACGCCCUCCACCCAAUUAGGGGUAAGGAGCUGAUAUCAGGCUCUACAAUCGCCCAAAACAUCUAGCCACGCCACACCCACAAGGGCCUUCAGCAGUGAUUAACCUUAAGAAUAAACGUCAGUUUGACUUAGUUAAAUGAAGACAGAGCCGGCCAAUCUGGUGCCAGCCGCCGCGGUUACACCAUCGGGCUCAAAUUGAUUAUUUUACGGCGUAAAGCGUGAUUAAAGAAAUGAACUGUUGGGGGUUUAAAUUAAGUUGUGAUAAAAUUAUUCUUAAGAAGCCCUGCCUCGAAAG
rnacentral:rRNA from 1 species